rnacentral:rRNA from 1 species
UACGGAGGAGGCAAGCGUUAUCCGGAAUUAUUGGGAGUAAAGCGUCCGUAGGUGGUGAUUCAAGUCAGCGGUUAAAGCGUGGGGCUUAACCUCAUACAGGCCGUUGAAACUGGAUUGCUCGAGUGCGGUAGGGGUCGAGGGAAUUCCCAGUGUAGCGGUGAAAUGCGUAGAUAUUGGGAAGAACACCGGUGGCGAAAGCGCUCGGCUGGGCCUGCACUGACACUGAGGGACGAAAGCUCGGGGAGCGAAAGGG